rnacentral:lncRNA from 1 species
CGCCGUCCUCUGCGGCCUAUGCGCUGCCCCGCGUCGUGCUUCGCGGCCGGGCGGGGAGGCCGCUCCGAGCUUGGCGGCUGGGCGGGGGGGGCAGGGCCCUCACGGCUGCCCUUGCCAAAUGGCUCCUCGCCGGAGGAGGAAGCUGCCGCCGCCGCGGGAAGGGGCGCGGCUGCCUCGAGAGACCCAACCAGGAAAAGAAUCUGAAUGGUCAGACUCUAUGUCAUGUCUUACGAAGAAACUGGAGGAAUUGAAUUUAGAUAUUGAAGAAGCUCUGAGUGCUGGCUCUUCUCCCUCCAGUACUCCUUCUGCCAAAAGGCACAAGCUACUGUGCCCUGUUCAAGUGGAGACUGGCUUUUAUGGAGAUCAUCAAGGAAAGAGAUCUUGGAAAAAUAGAAGAGCAGGCUACCAGGAUCUAGAUUGUUCAUCUAGCCCAGUGUCAGCUGGAGCACGACCAAAAACUGAUGUGCUGCUUCAGAAGCUAUGCAAAGAAAAAGCAGGUAAGACACUGCAUUACUUCUCAAAAGUUUCUUGA